rnacentral:rRNA from 1 species
GAGAAGCUUGCUUCUCUGAUGUUAGCGGCGGACGGGUGAGUAACACGUGGAUAACCUACCUAUAAGACUGGGAUAACUUCGGGAAACCGGAGCUAAUACCGGAUAAUAUUUUGAACCGCAUGGUUCAAAAGUGAAAGACGGUCUUGCUGUCACUUAUAGAUGGAUCCGCGCUGCAUUAGCUAGUUGGUAAGGUAACGGCUUACCAAGGCAACGAUGCAUAGCCGACCUGAGAGGGUGAUCGGCCACACUGGAACUGAGACACGGUCCAGACUCCUACGGGAGGCAGCAGUAGGGAAUCUUCCGCAAUGGGCGAAAGCCUGACGGAGCAACGCCGCGUGAGUGAUGAAGGUCUUCGGAUCGUAAAACUCUGUUAUUAGGGAAGAACAUAUGUGUAAGUAACUGUGCACAUCUUGACGGUACCUAAUCAGAAAGCCACGGCUAACUACGUGCCAGCAGCCGCGGUAAUACGUAGGUGGCAAGCGUUAUCCGGAAUUAUUGGGCGUAAAGCGCGCGUAGGCGGUUUUUUAAGUCUGAUGUGAAAGCCCACGGCUCAACCGUGGAGGGUCAUUGGAAACUGGAAAACUUGAGUGCAGAAGAGGAAAGUGGAAUUCCAUGUGUAGCGGUGAAAUGCGCAGAGAUAUGGAGGAACACCAGUGGCGAAGGCGACUUUCUGGUCUGUAACUGACGCUGAUGUGCGAAAGCGUGGGGAUCAAACAGGAUUAGAUACCCUGGUAGUCCACGCCGUAAACGAUGAGUGCUAAGUGUUAGGGGGUUUCCGCCCCUUAGUGCUGCAGCUAACGCAUUAAGCACUCCGCCUGGGGAGUACGACCGCAAGGUUGAAACUCAAAGGAAUUGACGGGGACCCGCACAAGCGGUGGAGCAUGUGGUUUAAUUCGAAGCAACGCGAAGAACCUUACCAAAUCUUGACAUCCUUUGACAACUCUAGAGAUAGAGCCUUCCCCUUCGGGGGACAAAGUGACAGGUGGUGCAUGGUUGUCGUCAGCUCGUGUCGUGAGAUGUUGGGUUAAGUCCCGCAACGAGCGCAACCCUUAAGCUUAGUUGCCAUCAUUAAGUUGGGCACUCUAAGUUGACUGCCGGUGACAAACCGGAGGAAGGUGGGGAUGACGUCAAAUCAUCAUGCCCCUUAUGAUUUGGGCUACACACGUGCUACAAUGGACAAUACAAAGGGCAGCGAAACCGCGAGGUCAAGCAAAUCCCAUAAAGUUGUUCUCAGUUCGGAUUGUAGUCUGCAACUCGACUACAUGAAGCUGGAAUCGCUAGUAAUCGUAGAUCAGCAUGCUACGGUGAAUACGUUCCCGGGUCUUGUACACACCGCCCGUCACACCACGAGAGUUUGUAACACCCGAAGCCGGUGGAGUAACCUUUUAGGAGCUAGCCGUCGAAGGUGGGACAAAUGAUUGGGGUGAAGUCGUAACAAGGUAGCCGUAUCGGAAGGUGCGGCUGGAUCACCUCCUUUCUA